rnacentral:rRNA from 1 species
GACGAACGCUGGCGGCAUGCCUAAUACAUGCAAGUCGAGCGAACAGAUGAAGUGCUUGCACUUCUGACGUUAGCGGCGAACGGGUGAGUAACACGUAAGGAAUCUACCUAUAAGCGGGGAUAACAUUCGGAAACGGGUGCUAAUACCGCAUAAUAUCUUCUUCCGCAUGGAAGAAGAUUGAAAGACGGCUCUGCUGUCAUUUAUAGAUGACCUUGCGGUGCAUUAGUUAGUUGGUGGGGUAAUGGCCUACCAAGACGAUGAUGCAUAGCCGACCUGGGAGGGUGGUCGGCGACAUUGGGACUGCGACACGGCCCAAACUCCUACGGGAGACAGCAGUAGGGAAACUUCCGCAAUGGGCGAAAGCCUGACGGGGCAAUGCCGCGUGAGUGAAGAAGGCCUUCGGGUCGUAAAACUCUGUUAUAAGAGAAGAACAAAUUGUAGAGUAACUGCUACAGUCUUGACGGUAUCUUAUCAGAAAGCCACGGCUAACUACGUGCCAGCCGCCGCAGUAA